rnacentral:rRNA from 1 species
UCCUACGGGAGGCAGCAGUGGGGAAUUUUUCGCAAUGGGGGCAACCCUGACGAAGCAAUGCCGCGUGGAUGAAGAAGGCCUUCGGUUUGUAAAGUCCUUUCGUGGGGGACGAAAAGGCGGGUCCUAAUACGAUCUGCUGUUGACGUGAACCCAAGAAGAAGCACCGGCUAACUCCGUGCCAGCAGCCGCGGUAAUACGGGGGGUGCAAGCGUUAAUCGGAAUCACUGGGCGUAAAGGGUGCGUAGGCGGUACGUUAGGUCUGUCGUGAAAUCCCCGGGCUCAACCUGGGAAUGGCGGUAGAAACCGGCGCACUAGAGUAUGGGAGAGGGUGGUGGAAUUCCAGGUGUAGCGGUGAAAUGCGUAGAGAUCUGGAGGAACAUCAGUGGCGAAGGCGGCCACCUGGCCCAAUACUGACGCUGAGGCACGAAAGCGUGGGGAGCAAACAGGAUUAGAUACCAGGGUAGUCCACGCCCUAAACGAUGAA